CCUUUUUUUACAACCUUUUAUCAUGUAUAGUUUUCAGCACCUGUUUAAAAUACUACAUAAUCUGAAGGCAGCUUCUUUGCAGGGGUGUAAAUGGCAGUUCCUUGGUCACAACCGUGCACAUUUAAAGCAAGGUUGUAGCAAGCACCCUAGUAGUCACCAUGACUUCCUAAAGCCUGAUCUGAGCUGGUUGGCAGCAGUAAUUGUUCAAAACCUGCCAGAAACUGAAAUCCAGGAGGAACCUGAUACCAGACCGCCAUUACAGAACUCAGUGAAAUUGUAUUGUUCUAGAGAAGAAAACGUCAUCACGUGCAUUUUGAAGUGAAUGUUAUAUCCUCAUCUUAAAGGAGCUGUUAAUUAAAGAGUAUCUGCUGCAUACAGAGGAAGACAUCUGACAGACUUUCUACGUAAGUGGGCAAAUUCUUUCAUCGCCUCUUAGAUUCUUUUUUUAGGUUCAGAGUGAUUUUUUUAUUAUUUUUUCUUUUUUUUUUUUUUUAAUAACUCCUCAGUUGCUUGAAUGGUCUCUCCCUACUGCCUACUCAGUUUCACACAAGUAGAUCAACACGCAAUUCCCUCAGUGUUAGAACAAUUCAACCAUGUGUUAAUAUGGUUGGAUAUUAAAAGUUCAUACGGCAGAUUAAUGUAAUUAACAUAAAUACAGUUACAGUCCACAAGUACAUGGAAACAGUGCAUCAAUCAAAACUAAUGAAAGUAGCCAUAAAUGUAAAUGGACCAGUGCUUGAGAUGACCUAAUGUUACACAUGCAUGUGCUUUCUAACAGAGCAUGUCCAGCUUCUUUCACUGGUAUUGACUUCAAAUAAUUUUAGCAAUUUUGAAAGAUGUUCAUUUAAGUUCCUUCGACAGAUGAAUAAUUACCAUAGUAUUCUGAGGUUAAGUGAGCAUAGG
rnacentral:lncRNA from 1 species